GUACUGACCUGGCAGGGGAUGUACCACAAAGGUGGUUUUCCCAGGGCGAGACUAACCCACUGCACUCCGAAUGUGCUGACCCCUGCAAUUUCCCCAAAUGCGGGAAAUUUCACUGCAUAAUUUGUGGUAAUGGGGUUCUGCAUUUGUGCUCUCCCCUG